rnacentral:lncRNA from 1 species
CUUCUCAGGCCUCAAGGAGCCCCAGAGGGUACAGGCAUGGGCAACCUCGCUGCUGGAUUUCAUCAGCAAGAUGAAUGGGCUGGCCUCAGUCUGACCCGCCAGGAAGAACCCAGGCACAUACAGGGCGUGCCGAUAGAGCAGGAAGAUCCCCGCGUCCAGGGAGGGAACCAGCCAGGGAGGAGCCAGCCCCUCUCACCAAGGACGACUCCUGUGCCCGCUAUGUCAUCUGAGGAGCAGCAAUCAUGUUACACGGUGAGGGGGUCCCAGGAGGAGAUGGGGUGGAAGGUUCAUGGACAAGGGGGUCGUGAGGCGGAGGCAGGGGCUGAGGGCACGUGUCAUCACCUGACCUCUGGGGGUGCUCUUGCUGCAGCUGACACUGCUGGGCUUGGCUGCCACCUCCCGGGGGCCCGAGAGACGCCCUGUAAGGUGGGUCCCCACAGGAGGCCCUGGUUUCCUCUGGGGAGACGGCAGGGGGUCGGCAGGGGGUCGGCAGGUUUGGAUCGCCAAGGUGGGGCCUGCACUUGACUGAGGGCCUUGGAGGCCACACUGGGGCUUCUGGCGUCCUGCUCUUGCCGCAGCCUGGCCUGGCCUGGGCCCCAGAUAGAAGUGGCUCUUCUUUCUCAGGCCACAGGGGUCCUAGGGAGAGGAAGGUGCUGCCCAGGGACCUGGAGGAGCGAACUGAGUGGCGGAUGAAGGUCUGGGUGAGGGUGCGGUCCAGGCCUUUCCAGCAGGGACCCCUCAGGAACUGGACCCCCAUCCAGGCCUCAGGGGAGGAGGAGGAGAUGUGUGGUUUCCGCCUCCUCCGGGGGCAGAGCCUUCUGUCUUCCUCUCUCUGCCCCCUCAGUUGUGAGGCAGAGUCUGAGAGGUGCCUCCUGCCCUGGCGGGGCUCUGCUGUCCCCUUCCCCUCAGGGGUGCCACAUGGGGCCCGUCCAAGCAGCCAGGCCUGGGCUCUGGCUCCUGCCCGUCCCUUCCCGAGGGCCCUGCUGGAGCCAGGAGGAGGACCAAGCGGGCCAGGCAGAUGGUGGGCUGCGAGGAGGGGCUGCCCGGGCAGACGGGCCGACUGUCAGGACAGAUGGUGGGCCGGGCAGGGGUCCGGAGCCCGGCCCAUCUGUUCCAGGCCCCCGGUGGGGCUUUUCUUGUCCACCUGGGGCUGAACUGGGAAGAGGCCCAGCGGUGGCUUCUGCCCAGGUCCGCUCACGUCCUCCUGGGUCAUCUGUCCCCGAGGCUCAGGGCUAGGGGUCCCUCCUGGUGCUGAUCCUCCUGGCAAAUGGCGUAUGGCCGUGCUCACAGAGCUGGAGGGGUUCCCAAGGGCCCUGGGGGUGCCUGGGCAGAGUGUGCGGCACACCCCGGGGACAAAGCCGCCCAUGGCAGACCGGCAAUACCGAGGGGCUGCCGGAAGCCACCAAGGAAAGUCGCGUCUGUGCCCAGUUGUCACUAUCAGCCAGCCCUGCUCAGCAGAGGAGCGGCUGGUGGGAAGGGGGCACUGCAGGAGGGGGGCUGCCCUGGUUGGGGGUCAGGACUGCUUCUCAG